CAGGCCUAACACAUGCAAGUCGAACGGUAACAGGAAGCAGCUUGCUGCUUCGCUGACGAGUGGCGGACGGGUGAGUAAUGUCUGGGAAACUGCCUGAUGGAGGGGGAUAACUACUGGAAACGGUAGCUAAUACCGCAUAACGUCGCAAGACCAAAGAGGGGGACCUUCGGGCCUCUUGCCAUCGGAUGUGCCCAGAUGGGAUUAGCUAGUAGGUGGGGUAACGGCUCACCUAGGCGACGAUCCCUAGCUGGUCUGAGAGGAUGACCAGCCACACUGGAACUGAGACACGGUCCAGACUCCUACGGGAGGCAGCAGUGGGGAAUAUUGCACAAUGGGCGCAAGCCUGAUGCAGCCAUGCCGCGUGUAUGAAGAAGGCCUUCGGGUUGUAAAGUACUUUCAGCGGGGAGGAAGGCGAUAAGGUUAAUAACCUUGUCGAUUGACGUUACCCGCAGAAGAAGCACCGGCUAACUCCGUGCCAGCAGCCGCGGUAACACGGAGGGUGCAAGCGUUAAUCGGAAUUACUGGGCGUAAAGCGCACGCAGGCGGUCUGUCAGGUCGGAUGUGAAAUCCCCGGGCUCAACCUGGGAACUGCAUUCGAAACUGGCAGGCUAGAGUCUUGUAGAGGGGGGUAGAAUUCCAGGUGUAGCGGUGAAAUGCGUAGAGAUCUGGAGGAAUACCGGUGGCGAAGGCGGCCCCCUGGACAAAGACUGACGCUCAGGUGCGAAAGCGUGGGGAGCAAACAGGAUUAGAUACCCUGGUAGUCCACGCCGUAAACGAUGUCGACUUGGAGGUUGUGCCCUUGAGGCGUGGCUUCCGGAGCUAACGCGUUAAGUCGACCGCCUGGGGAGUACGGCCGCAAGGUUAAAACUCAAAUGAAUUGACGGGGGCCCGCACAAGCGGUGGAGCAUGUGGUUUAAUUCGAUGCAACGCGAAGAACCUUACCUACUCUUGACAUCCAGAGAACUUUCCAGAGAUGGAUUGGUGCCUUCGGGAACUCUGAGACGGGUGCUGCAUGGCUGUCGUCAGCUCGUGUUGUGAAAUGUUGGGUUAAGUCCCGCAACGAGCGCAACCCUUAUCCUUUGUUGCCAGCGGUCCGGCCGGGAACUCAAAGGAGACUGCCAGUGAUAAACUGGAGGAAGGUGGGGAUGACGUCAAGUCAUCAUGGCCCUUACGAGUAGGGCUACACACGUGCUACAAUGGCGCAUACAAAGAGAAGCGACCUCGCGAGAGCAAGCGGACCUCAUAAAGUGCGUCGUAGUCCGGAUUGGAGUCUGCAACUCGACUCCAUGAAGUCGGAAUCGCUAGUAAUCGUGGAUCAGAAUGCCACGGUGAAUACGUUCCCGGGCCUUGUACACACCGCCCGUCACACCAUGGGAGUGGGUUGCAAAAGAAGUAGGUAGCUUAACCUUCGGGAGGGCGCUUACCACUUUGUGAUUCAUGACUGGGGUGAAGUCAUAACA
rnacentral:rRNA from 1 species